AUUUUGUUAUGAGGGCACUUCCGUAGUAAUUCUUUAUACCUUGAUCAUGCCUCAUAUAAGGACUCAUCAUCCAUUUGUUGGAAAGCAGUGAUCUCGUUCCUCAACUU
rfam:Gossypium arboreum cultivar AKA8401 contig_107280_1, whole genome shotgun sequence.